UUCCUACGGGAGGCAGCAGUGGGGAAUAUUGCACAAUGGGGGAAACCCUGAUGCAGCCAUGCCGCGUGUGUGAAGAAGGCCUUCGGGUUGUAAAGCACUUUCAGUGGUGAGGAAAGGGUAGUCGUUAAUAACGGCUACAGUUGACGUUAGCCACAGAAGAAGCACCGGCUAACUCCGUGCCAGCAGCCGCGG
rnacentral:rRNA from 1 species